rnacentral:tRNA from 3 species
AGGGCCGUAGCGCAGAGGUCGUCGCGCCGGACAGGUUGGAGGACGUCGGUUCGAAUCCGACCGGUCCUG